UAGGGAAUCUCCCACAAUGGACGCAAGUCUGAUGGAGCAACGCCGCGUGAGUGAAGAAGGUUUUCGGAUCGUAAAGCUCUGUUGUUGGUGAAGAAGGAUAGAGGCAGUAACUGGCCUUUAUUUGACGGUAAUCAACCAGAAAGUCACGGCUAACUACGUGCCAGCAGCCGCGGUAAUACGUAGGUGGCAAGCGUUGUCCGGAUUUAUUGGGCGUAAAGCGAGCGCAGGCGGAAGAAUAAGUCUGAUGUGAAAGCCCUCGGCUUAACCGAGGAACUGCAUCGGAAACUGUUUUCUUGAGUGCAGAAGAGGAGAGUGGAACUCCAUGUGUAGCGGUGGAAUGCGUAGAUAUAUGGAAGAACACCAGUGGCGAAGGCGACUCUCUGGUCUGCAACUGACGCUGAGGCUCGAAAGCAUGGGUAGCGAACAGGAUUAGAUACCCUGGUAGUCCAUGCCGUAAACGAUGAGUGCUAAGUGUUGGGAGGUUUCCGCCUCUCAGUGCUGCAGCUAACGCAUUAAGCACUCCGCCUGGGGGAGUACGACCGCAAGGUUGAAAC
rnacentral:rRNA from 1 species